AACGCACGAGACCUGCGGACCUGCGGAGGGAUCAUUACCGUAAGAUACCUAGGGUUUUGAGACUGCAUUCAAAUGGAUGCGUGCUCAACCCUUCCUCUUCAUCCACAUACACCUGUGCACUAUGGGAUGUAAAAUCCCCUUUUUUCCACACAAAAACCGAGUUAUAUGCAUGUAUUUAUUGCUCUACGGAGUAACAUACAACUUUUAACAACGGAUCUCU
rnacentral:misc_RNA from 1 species